rnacentral:rRNA from 1 species
UACGUAGGGGGCUAGCGUUGUCCGGAAUCAUUGGGCGUAAAGAGCGUGUAGGCGGCCCGGUAAGUCCGCUGUGAAAGUCGGGGGCUCAACCCUCGAAUGCCGGUGGAUACUGUCGGGCUCGAGUGCGGAAGAGGCGAGUGGAAUUCCCGGUGUAGCGGUGAAAUGCGCAGAUAUCGGGAGGAACACCAAUUGCGAAGGCAGCUCGCUGGGACGUAACUGACGCUGAGACGCGAAAGCGUGGGGAGCAAACAGG